GCCCGGUUAGCUCAAUCGGUAGAGCGUGAGACUCUUACAGAGCUUGCAAUCUCAAGGUUGCGGGUUCGACCCCCGCAUCGGGCU
rfam:Neonectria ditissima strain R09/05 contig_87, whole genome shotgun sequence.